UUAAGCGACUAAGCGUACACGGUGGAUGCCCUGGCAGUCAGAGGCGAUGAAGGACGUGCUAAUCUGCGAUAAGCGUCGGUAAGGUGAUAUGAACCGUUAUAACCGGCGAUUUCCGAAUGGGGAAACCCAGUGUGUUUCGACACACUAUCAUUAACUGAAUCCAUAGGUUAAUGAGGCGAACCGGGGGAACUGAAACAUCUAAGUACCCCGAGGAAAAGAAAUCAACCGAGAUUCCCCCAGUAGCGGCGAGCGAACGGGGAGCAGCCCAGAGCCUGAAUCAGUGUGUGUGUUAGUGGAAGCGUCUGGAAAGGCGCGCGAUACAGGGUGACAGCCCCGUACACAAAAAUGCACAUGCUGUGAGCUCGAUGAGUAGGGCGGGACACGUGGUAUCCUGUCUGAAUAUGGGGGGACCAUCCUCCAAGGCUAAAUACUCCUGACUGACCGAUAGUGAACCAGUACCGUGAGGGAAAGGCGAAAAGAACCCCGGCGAGGGGAGUGAAAAAGAACCUGAAACCGUGUACGUACAAGCAGUGGGAGCCUCUUUUAUGGGGUGACUGCGUACCUUUUGUAUAAUGGGUCAGCGACUUAUAUUCUGUAGCAAGGUUAACCGAAUAGGGGAGCCGAAGGGAAACCGAGUCUUAACUGGGCGUUAAGUUGCAGGGUAUAGACCCGAAACCCGGUGAUCUAGCCAUGGGCAGGUUGAAGGUUGGGUAACACUAACUGGAGGACCGAACCGACUAAUGUUGAAAAAUUAGCGGAUGACUUGUGGCUGGGGGUGAAAGGCCAAUCAAACCGGGAGAUAGCUGGUUCUCCCCGAAAGCUAUUUAGGUAGCGCCUCGUGAAUUCAUCUCCGGGGGUAGAGCACUGUUUCGGCAAGGGGGUCAUCCCGACUUACCAACCCGAUGCAAACUGCGAAUACCGGAGAAUGUUAUCACGGGAGACACACGGCGGGUGCUAACGUCCGUCGUGAAGAGGGAAACAACCCAGACCGCCAGCUAAGGUCCCAAAGUCAUGGUUAAGUGGGAAACGAUGUGGGAAGGCCCAGACAGCCAGGAUGUUGGCUUAGAAGCAGCCAUCAUUUAAAGAAAGCGUAAUAGCUCACUGGUCGAGUCGGCCUGCGCGGAAGAUGUAACGGGGCUAAACCAUGCACCGAAGCUGCGGCAGCGACGCUUAUGCGUUGUUGGGUAGGGGAGCGUUCUGUAAGCCUGUGAAGGUGUGCUGUGAGGCAUGCUGGAGGUAUCAGAAGUGCGAAUGCUGACAUAAGUAACGAUAAAGCGGGUGAAAAGCCCGCUCGCCGGAAGACCAAGGGUUCCUGUCCAACGUUAAUCGGGGCAGGGUGAGUCGACCCCUAAGGCGAGGCCGAAAGGCGUAGUCGAUGGGAAACAGGUUAAUAUUCCUGUACUUGGUGUUACUGCGAAGGGGGGACGGAGAAGGCUAUGUUGGCCGGGCGACGGUUGUCCCGGUUUAAGCGUGUAGGCUGGUUUUCCAGGCAAAUCCGGAAAAUCAAGGCUGAGGCGUGAUGACGAGGCACUACGGUGCUGAAGCAACAAAUGCCCUGCUUCCAGGAAAAGCCUCUAAGCAUCAGGUAACAUCAAAUCGUACCCCAAACCGACACAGGUGGUCAGGUAGAGAAUACCAAGGCGCUUGAGAGAACUCGGGUGAAGGAACUAGGCAAAAUGGUGCCGUAACUUCGGGAGAAGGCACGCUGAUAUGUAGGUGAAGCGACUUGCUCGUGGAGCUGAAAUCAGUCGAAGAUACCAGCUGGCUGCAACUGUUUAUUAAAAACACAGCACUGUGCAAACACGAAAGUGGACGUAUACGGUGUGACGCCUGCCCGGUGCCGGAAGGUUAAUUGAUGGGGUCAGCGCAAGCGAAGCUCUUGAUCGAAGCCCCGGUAAACGGCGGCCGUAACUAUAACGGUCCUAAGGUAGCGAAAUUCCUUGUCGGGUAAGUUCCGACCUGCACGAAUGGCGUAAUGAUGGCCAGGCUGUCUCCACCCGAGACUCAGUGAAAUUGAACUCGCUGUGAAGAUGCAGUGUACCCGCGGCAAGACGGAAAGACCCCGUGAACCUUUACUAUAGCUUGACACUGAACAUUGAGCCUUGAUGUGUAGGAUAGGUGGGAGGCUUUGAAGUGUGGACGCCAGUCUGCAUGGAGCCGACCUUGAAAUACCACCCUUUAAUGUUUGAUGUUCUAACGUUGACCCGUAAUCCGGGUUGCGGACAGUGUCUGGUGGGUAGUUUGACUGGGGCGGUCUCCUCCUAAAGAGUAACGGAGGAGCACGAAGGUUGGCUAAUCCUGGUCGGACAUCAGGAGGUUAGUGCAAUGGCAUAAGCCAGCUUGACUGCGAGCGUGACGGCGCGAGCAGGUGCGAAAGCAGGUCAUAGUGAUCCGGUGGUUCUGAAUGGAAGGGCCAUCGCUCAACGGAUAAAAGGUACUCCGGGGAUAACAGGCUGAUACCGCCCAAGAGUUCAUAUCGACGGCGGUGUUUGGCACCUCGAUGUCGGCUCAUCACAUCCUGGGGCUGAAGUAGGUCCCAAGUGUAUGGCUGUUCGCCAUUUAAAGUGGUACGCGAGCUGGGUUUAGAACGUCGUGAGACAGUUCGGUCCCUAUCUGCCGUGGGCGCUGGAGAACUGAGGGGGGCUGCUCCUAGUACGAGAGGACCGGAGUGGACGCAUCACUGGUGUUCGGGUUGUCAUGCCAAUGGCACUGCCCGGUAGCUAAAUGCGGAAGAGAUAAGUGCUGAAAGCAUCUAAGCACGAAACUUGCCCCGAGAUGAGUUCUCCCUGACUCCUUGAGAGUCCUGAAGGAACGUUGAAGACGACGACGUUGAUAGGCCGGGUGUGUAAGCGCAGCGAUGCGUUGAGCUAACCGGUACUAAUGAACCGUGAGGCUUAACCUU
rnacentral:rRNA from 1 species